rnacentral:rRNA from 1 species
AUGCUCCGCCUGCUCCCGCUCACCCUCUCCACCCAGUGCCGGAGCGGCGGCCCGCCGCCGCACCGCUGCUUCGUCGACGGCGGCUCGCCGUCCCAGAGAGCCGGGCCAGGGCUCCUCGCGAACAACGGAGUUCGCGUUAGAGUCCGGAGGCGAGCGCUCCGCGGGGCAGACGUCCAGCCGGACACCCCGCCAUCGCGCAGGGACGGGGAUAAGCCGCUGCACGCGGAUGCCGAACAGGUGGAGGGCAGCGGCGUGGAGCUGCUGGACUCGGUAAGGAAGCUGCUGCUGAAGGACGCCGAGCCGGGGGAGGAGGAGCAGGGGCAGUUCCCCAAGCGCUGGGCCAUUGUCUUCCUCUGCUUCUCCGCCUUCCUCCUCUGCAACAUGGACCGCGUAAACAUGAGCAUUGCCAUCAUGCCCAUGUCCGCGGAGUACGGCUGGAACCCGCAAACCGUCGGCCUCAUCCAGUCGUCCUUCUUUUGGGGCUACCUCCUAACUCAGAUAGCAGGAGGGAUAUGGGCAGACAAAGUUGGGGGGAAGACUGUUCUUGGUUUCGGGGUGAUUUGGUGGUCGGUCGCCACAGCUCUUACGCCUGUGGCGGCAAAGCUAGGCUUGCCAUUUCUCCUUGUUGUGCGUGCUUUUAUGGGAAUUGGAGAGGGGGUUGCCAUGCCCGCAAUGAAUAAUAUACUUUCAAAAUGGGUUCCUGUAUCAGAGAGGAGCAGAUCAUUAGCUCUUGUAUAUAGUGGGAUGUACCUAGGGUCAGUGACAGGACUCGCAUUUUCGCCAUUUCUGAUACACAAGUUUGGGUGGCCAUCAGUCUUCUAUUCCUUCGGCUCUCUUGGGACUGUCUGGUUCGCGACAUGGGCGGCCAAGGCUUAUAGUACUCCACUUGAGGAUCCGGGGAUUAGUGCUGAAGAAAAGAAGCUUAUCAUUAGUCAAACCACAUCAGGAGAGCCUGUUACAACAAUUCCAUGGGGAGUAAUAUUGUCAAAACCGCCUGUUUGGGCACUUAUAGCUUGCCACUUUUGCCAUAACUGGGGAACUUUUAUCUUGCUCACAUGGAUGCCUACGUACUACAACCAGGUUUUGAAAUUCAACCUCACGGAGUCCAGCCUUUUCUGCGUCCUUCCCUGGCUAACAAUGGCGAUUUCUGCAAAUGUUGGUGGUUGGAUUGCAGACACACUUGUUAGUAGAGGAACAUCAGUGACAACGGUUCGCAAGAUCAUGCAAUCAAUUGGUUUCUUAGGGCCAGCCUUUUUUCUCAGUCAACUGAGCCAUAUCGAUUCACCAGCACUGGCAGUUUUGUGCAUGGCUUGUAGCCAGGGAAGUGAUGCAUUUUCUCAGUCUGGUCUAUACUCAAAUCAUCAAGAUAUCGGUCCUCGAUACGCCGGUGUACUACUUGGUCUCUCCAACACAGCUGGGGUUCUAGCUGGUGUAUUUGGCACAGCAGCAACCGGAUACAUCUUGCAGCAUGGUUCUUGGGACGAUGUCUUCAAAUUGUCUGUAACUCUUUAUCUUGUUGGAACUGUGAUAUGGAAUUUAUUUUCAACCGGCGAGAAAAUUAUCGAUUGA